GUGAGGAAUAUUGGUCAAUGGACGAAAGUCUGAACCAGCCAUCCCGCGUGCAGGAUUGACAGCUCUAGUAGUUGUAAACUGCUUUUAUAUGGGAAGAAACCCUUCUACGUGUAGAAGGCUGACGGUACCAUACGAAUAAGCACCGGCUAACUCCGUGCCAGCAGCCGCGGUAAUACGGAGGGUGCAAGCGUUAUCCGGAUUUAUUGGGUUUAAAGGGUCCGCAGGUGGGAUGAUAAGUCAGUGGUGAAAUCCUGCAGCUUAACUGUAGAAUUGCCAUUGAUACUGUCAUCCUUGAGUCUAGUUGAAGUGGGCGGAAUGUGGCAUGUAGCGGUGAAAUGCAUAGAGAUGCCACAGAACACCGAUUGCGAAGGCAGCUCGCUAAACUAGCACUGACACUGAGGGACGAAAGCGUGGGGAGCGAACAGG
rnacentral:rRNA from 1 species